rnacentral:lncRNA from 1 species
AAGGAUUCUCACUGAGAAGCCUAACUAAUGCAGCAAUGGCUGCAUGCUGCUCCCUCUCUAGACCAGUAUUUAGAAUCUCAACCAAAGGCUGAACAGACUGUCUAGCUGAUUCUGCAUUCCUGAUGUGAUCUGCAGAGAAUAGGUUUUCCAAGGCUUUGGCAGCACUAUACCUUGCCCCUCUUCCACCUGAGAAUAGGUUUUCCAGGGCUUUGGCAGCACUAUACCUUGCCCCUCUUCCACCAAGACGUAAAACUGCAAUUAGCUGACCAACAGCACCAAAAGCAGAUUCGUGCCUGCAUAUUUCAGCAGUAGUAAAUAGGAUACCUAAUAAAUCAGUGGCAGCCUCCUCAGUUGCAUCUUGUGGGCCAAGUGAAAGGUAUUUAGUCAAUGCUUCCAGAACCCCAGAUUCCACCAUAACAAUCUUAUUUGAAGGACAAUCUUUGGCAAGCUGAAUCAGAAGUCCAAGAGCUAGAAAAGGGGCACCAGGACGAUCUGGGAUAGGUUUUAGCAAGUCAACAAGGGCUGGUAUAGCUUUCCUAGAAGUUGCACCAACCCUCUAGAAAAGGCGCACCAGGACGAUCUGGAAUAGGCUUUAGGAAGUCAACAAGGGCUGGUAUAGCUUUUCUAGAAGUUGCACCAACCUUUAUAUCAUCGACCCUGAACAACCUCUCAAGUGCAACUUGAUCUGGGUUACGGACCAAGGCAAAUUCCUCCGAUAGUGCAACAAGGUCCUUUAUAUCCUCAUCAGCACAACCAAGCAAUGUUAUGAGUCCUGAUGGUGCACCUGAAUUUGCAACAGACAACAGAGUUCCCCUGCUACCAUUACAGACAAGGCUGGCUACAGCUUGUGCGGCGAAAUACCUGUUUGCUGACUCUUCUGACUUCAGCAAAUUACCUAGCACAGGUAUAGCUUUCAUUGUUCCAUGUGCUCGUAUGAUGUCUCUAUCUUGAAAUAAGAUAGCCAGAAGCAAUCCACAAAUCCAUAUGCUGCUGUCCUCCUUGAAAUCAAUCUGUAAAAGUAUUAACAAAGGUCAUAUAGUGCAUUGGAACAAGAUAAAUACCAUAACAAAUUCAAGAGUCUUGGUUAGAUGUGGUUUUAUCACAGAAAGAAAGCACUUCAACUAAAGAUAGUACUUACCUGUGUAAACUGAGUAAAAGAUUGAGUAAUUCUCUCUGUAAGAACUUCAAUUGCACCAGCCUCCAUAAUCUCAACUUUACUUUGGUCAUCGCGACUUGCAAGAGCUGAAAGUAGCCAUAUAGCUAUAUUGACCCCGGAAACAACUGAAGUACUUUUCUCCGUCUCAUCCUUUCUUGAUUCUUCUUCAGCAUCCCUGGAGAUGCUAAUCGCAAUCUUACCCCCCUGGUCCUCCAAAUGUAGAGACUCUGAAGCAUUUAGCAUCCCAACAAAAGAUUGAAUGAGUGGAACACAGGACUUUGAUUCAUUUAAAUCUUCCACCACUCUUUGAUGAUUCACUUUUGCAGCGCAAACAAGAAGUGCACUUCCUCCUAUUUUAACCAAAGCAUUGGAGGAACAGAUUACCCUUCUUGCAACUGAAGAAAUGCAUCCAUAGGCACAAGCAAUAGAAUCGCCAAGAACAGCGGGCUGAGCUUGGCAGAGUCUUGACAAUAUCUCAAUAGCUUUGUCUUGCAAAAAAUUACCCUCCUUGCAAUUGAAGAAAUGCAUCCAUAGGCACAAGCAAUAGCAUCGCCAAGGACAGUGGGCUGAGCUUGGCAGAGUCUUGACAAUAUCUCAAUAGCUUUGUCUUGCAAAACUGGUGAGGCAUCAGCAAUGCAUGAAACUACUGGAAUUAUGCUAUUAGGGUAUUCAGCUAGAACUGCCCAUGCAGGUUUGAUACCACUAGCUCCUUCCAGCCUUAAAAGGAAACAAAGUGCAUCUAGAGCUUCUGAUAUAGCAAGAGAGUCACUGCCAGUUGAUUCUAGGAAAGAAACUAAUGCAAGAACUGUUACACAACGGUUAACACAAUCAGUUAAGGCAGGAUUAACCUGACUAAAUUGAAGAAGACGAGCAAUUGCUGCAGCAGCAUGGGUCCUUCCACCAGUUGUGCCUUCACGAAGAACUCUAGUAGCAGGCAAGAUAAUCUCUUCAGGGAUUGCUUUCUCAGACACCUCCGGAUCCAAAAGAAGAUUGGACAAAGCACAUACUGCUUGCUCUGCAACUUGCAAGACUGAGGACUUUGCAAGCACCAUUAAUGAAGGCAAUGCAUCUCUAGCAAUUGCUGCAAUGUCACGGCUUUCUCUAAUAGAGAGAAAUAUCGCAGCAAGGCAGCGCGACGCAUCCACUAAGAUGGUUUCAGGUUCAGCAUUCAGAAGCUUCACGAGUGACCACAAAGUUUUGACAGCAAGGCUACUUUCUCGCAAGUCCUUCCUGAGAUGGAAAAUUCCAGCAAGAGCUGAAGCAGACUUGGCCUGAGUCUCUUCCUUGGUGGAGCUUAAUAUCUUUAUCAUCGUCUCAACUGCAUCAUUUGCUGCACUACCUUCACGCAACAUAUCGCUCAGAGGGGCCACAGAGAGCAAACUUUUUAAUGCAUCUAAGACAUAAAUCUUAGACUCUGGAAGAUCACUAGUCAAUAGUGCAGUGAGUUGACUAAUAGUUGCAG